AGAGUUUGAUCAUGGCUCAGGAUGAACGCUAGCUACAGGCUUAACACAUGCAAGUCGAGGGGCGAGCAUGGUCUUAGCUUGCUAAGGCCGAUGGCGACCGGCGCACGGGUGAGUAACGCGUAUCCAACCUGCCUUACACUCUUGGACAGCCUUCUGAAAGGGAGAUUAAUACAAGAUGUUAUCAUGAGUAAGCAUUUUCGCAUGAUUAAAGGUUUACCGGUGUAAGAUGGGGAUGCGUUCCAUUAGAUAGUAGGGCGGGGUAACGGGCCCACCCUAGUCUUCGAUGGAUAGGGGUUCGUGAGAGGAAGGUCCCCCACCAUUGGAACUGAGACACGGUCCAAACUCCUACGGGAGGCAGCA
rnacentral:rRNA from 1 species